AGAGUUUGAUCAUGGCUCAGAUUGAACGCUGGCGGCAGCCCUUAUACAUGCAAGUCGAACGAGAAAGUUCCUUCGGGAGCGAGUAAAGUGGCGGACGGGUGAGUAACGCGUAGGAAUCUACCUUUCAGUGGGGGAUAGCUCGGGGAAACUCGAAUUAAUACCGCAUACACCCUUCGGGGGAAAGGGGGCCUCUCCUUGGAAGCUCUCGCUGUUAGAUGAGCCUGCGUGAGAUUAGCUUGUUGGUAAGGUAAUGGCUUACCAAGGCUACGAUCUCUAGCUGGUCUGAGAGGACGAUCAGCCACACUGGGACUGAGACACGGCCCAGACUCCUACGGGAGGCAGCAGUAGGGAAUAUUGGACAAUGGGGGCAACCCUGAUCCAGGCAUGCCGCGUGUGUGAAGAAGGCCUUAGGGUUGUAAAGCACUUUAAGUGAGGAAGAAAAGAUUUAAAUUAAUACUUUAAGUCCCUGACAUUACUCACAGAAUAAGGACCGGCUAACUCCGUGCCAGCAGCCGCGGUAAUACGGAGGGUCCAAGCGUUAAUCGGAAUUACUGGGCGUAAAGCGCGCGUAGAUGGUUUAUUCAGUUGGGUGUGAAAUCCCUGGGCUCAACCUAGGAACUGCAUUCAAAACUUAUAAACUAGAGUACGAAAGAGGAGAGUAGAAUUCAUGGUGUAGCGGUGAAAUGCGUAGAGAUCAUGAGGAAUACCAGUGGCGAAGGCGACUCUCUGGUUCGAGACUGACAUUGAGGUGCGAAAGCGUGGGUAGCAAACAGGAUUAGAUACCCUGGUAGUCCACGCCGUAAACGAUGAGAACUAGCC
rnacentral:rRNA from 1 species